rnacentral:tRNA from 1 species
GCCGAGGUAGCUCAGUCGGUAGAGCAGUGGACUGAAAAUCCUCGUGUCGGCGGUUCGAUUCCGUCCCUCGGCACCA